rnacentral:rRNA from 1 species
GUGCCAGCAGCCGCGGUAAUACGUAGGGGGCAAGCGUUAUCCGGAAUUAUUGGGCGUAAAGAGUGCGUAGGCGGUUUUUUAAGCGCGGGGUGAAAGGCAAUGGCUCAACCAUUGUUAGCCCUGCGAACUGGGAGACUUGAGUGCAGGAGAGGAAAGCGGAAUUCCUAGUGUAGCGGUGAAAUGCGUAGAUAUUAGGAGGAACACCAGUGGCGAAGGCGGCUUUCUGGACUGUAACUGACGCUGAGGCACGAAAGUGUGGGGAGCAAACAGGAUUAGAUACCCUGGUAGUCCACACCGUAAACGAUGAGCACUAGGUGUCGGGUCCGCAAGGAUUCGGUGCCGCAGUUAACGCAUUAAGUGCUCCGCCUGGGGAGUACGCACGCAAGUGUGAAACUCAAAGGAAUUGACGGGGACCCGCACAAGCAGCGGAGCAUGUGGUUUAAUUCGAGGCAACGCGAAGAACCUUACCAGGACUUGACAUCCCUCUGACAGCCUCUUAACCGAGGCCUUCUACGGACAGAGGAGACAGGUGGUGCAUGGUUGUCGUCAGCUCGUGUCGUGAGAUGUUGGGUUAAGUCCCGCAACGAGCGCAACCCUUGUCAUUAGUUGCCAUCAUUAAGUUGGGCACUCUAGUGAGACUGCCGGGGACAACUCGGAGGAAGGUGGGGAUGACGUCAAAUCAUCAUGCCCCUUAUGUUCUGGGCUACACACGUGCUACAAUGGCCGGUACAAAGAGCAGCAAAACUGCGAAGUGGAGCAAAUCUCAAAAACCGGUCCCAGUUCGGAUUGUAGGCUGCAACUCGCCUACAUGAAGUCGGAGUUGCUAGUAAUCGUGGAUCAGAAUGCCACGGUGAAUGCGUUCCCGGGUCUUGUACACACCGCCCGU